UACGUAGGGUGCAAGCGUUACUCGGAAUUACUGGGCGUAAAGCGUGCGCAGGCGGUUGUGCAAGACAGAUGUGAAAUCCCCGGGCUUAACCUGGGAAUUGCAUUUGUGACUGCACGGCUAGAGUGUGUCAGAGGGGGGUAGAAUUCCACGUGUAGCAGUGAAAUGCGUAGAUAUGUGGAGGAAUACCGAUGGCGAAGGCAGCCCCCUGGGAUAACACUGACGCUCAUGCACGAAAGCGUGGGGAGCAAACAGG
rnacentral:rRNA from 1 species